rnacentral:rRNA from 1 species
CCUACGGGAGGCAGCAGUGAGGAAUAUUGGUCAAUGGCCGGAAGGCUGAACCAGCCAUGCCGCGUGACGGUCAGUGCCCUAUGGGCGUUAAACUUCUUUUGUGCGGGAGCAAUAAUGGUCACGUGUGGCCAGACGAGAGUACCGUACGAAUAAGCAUCGGCUAACUCCGUGCCAGCAGCCGCGGUCAUACGGGGGAUGCAAGCGUUAUCCGGAUUUAUUGGGUUUAAAGGGUGCGUAGGCUGUGAGGUAAGUCAGCGGUGAAAUGCCCCCGCUCCACGGGGUGAAGGGCCAUUGAUACUGCCUGGCUGGAGUGCGGAUGCCGUGGGAGGAAUGUGUGGUGUAGCGGUGAAAUGCAUAGAUAUCACACAGAACACCGAUUGCGAAGGCAUCUCACGAAUCCGCGAUUGACGCUGAGGCACGAAAGCGUGGGUAUCAAACAGGAUUAGAUACCCGAGUAGUC